GUUUUACUGUAUCAUGAAGCUCCUGUGAGGACGCUGAACAUCUGCUGAUGGAGCUGCUCUGUUCUGAGAGGAAAUCGAUUAUGAGUCACCUGGACUCCACUGAUGGUCAGAGUGAAAUCAGUUCCAUGAUCAGCUCCUUCAUCAGAAUAAAACCAGAGAAUUGACACAGCUGUCAGAUGGCAGCAGGAUGUCGGGUUCAGCGUUUAUAAAUAUGUGAUAGUUUCUUUGAACGAUGAAUUUGAAUAAAGCUUGUUGUUCACUUGUAAAGUAUUUAAUUAUUGUGAUGGUUACUUUUAUUCAAUCAUAUUGUGCACAAGUGUUGAGGUGGGCUAGCAAUCCAGUUCAUUCUGGGGUAAUUCUUUUUUUUUUUGGUAGUAAUACUUACAUUUUUUUUUUUUGUAUAAAAUCUUCUCCAAAGGCAAGGUUUCCAGAGGCUGCCUGACGUCUUCAGUGUGAAGACAUUGCAAACAUUGAAAAUGCUGUACUAAGUAGGAAAACCGUACUAAUGUACUACUACAACUACUAGACAGUUGAGUUACUGAUGCUUUGAGAUGUUAGUGCACAUCGCUUUUUUUUUUCUUUCUCUUUUUUUAUUGCAUACAAGAUCAGGAAAAAAAAAAAACCAAACAAGAUUACAAGCACAUACAUAUCAUGGGUUUGGAUCAAAGCAUGAGAUUAUAUACACAGAAGCACAAUGACAAGGUGAAAUAUUUUGAAUAAUUCAUAUAAUAAUUCAUAAUCAUAACAUUAGUAGGGUUAAAAAUAUAAGAACUUAAAUUGACCCAAAAUGCAUUGGUUAUACCAUAAUCAAAAAAUAAAUGGAGAGCUUAGACUAAAAAAAUAGACUACAGAGUAUGCACUCUUUUAGCGCUUGCUAAGUAAACACUUUUUAAGUACCUACUCAGUGAGUUUGCUGUCUAGAAUACAGCCUCUGUGAUGCACGGCUGACACUUUUUGUGAAAACAAAUCUUAUUUUAAUUAUAUUUUAGCAUAAGCACACAUUGCUAGACAGGUAGAGAACAUAAUCAUUCAUAAUUAAUGGAGCCUCAUUAUCCAUUUGUAUUCAUUGUAUUCAUGGCACUCAUUAUUCUGGUUUUGCCUGUAACCCUCAUGUGAAGACAUUUUCAGUGACUUCUUGCUCAUUAUGUGAAAACUUUCUGUGAUGGAAAGACUAUGAAAUUGUCUACCAUCACUGGUUUCACUGGUAAUGUUGGUACAAAUGUUUUGGUUUAUUCAUUCUUUUUAAUUGUAUUAUCAAUUGUAUUUAUUUAAACGCUUGUUUCUAGAUCAUGUGUAUAUAAUAAGAUUCUAAGGCAAGAGUUUUUUUUAUAAAAAAUGGUAUGUUCCAAUUUGGGGAAAAAUGUAUUUUUAACAUGGCCACCACUAGAAGUUGGGGCAUGGAUGGAUAGAGAGCUGGGACACGAUUGUUGUGCUGUGUAGCAAGGGAAACUCCAGCCUCAAUGCUGUAGUUGGUACUGUUUCUAGUACUUGCACUUCUAGUUUUAGACUGUUUUUAUUACAAUCUUUGUUUUAAGCUCUUAUACCUAUUUAUUUGCACAUUUUGCACACCUGCUUAAAUAAACAACCCUUUGGAGCCCUACAUCGCUAUUGAUCCUCCUUGUGAUUGCUUGGGUCAUUAUCACACUUUCUUUAUCUCUUCUUAGACAAAGUUUAAACUUUUUUUAGCCCAGUUACCUACCCCCGUCCUAUGGAACAAAAAUAUGGGAAUAUGCUGCAAAAUAUAAUGCAGAUUAUCACAUAAUACAUUUCUAUAUAUGGCAAACUAGUGCUUAUAUUUUUCAAUAUGCUGCAAUAUUUGCAUUAACCAUGUCUGGCGAUGUAUUGAUGCAAAUAAAAACAUUUAGAAAUCCAGACAAAAAUAGAAUUACAUGUAAUAUUCAUUUAUGUGAUCUCAGUCCCAUUGUCAGGAUAUACACUGGAGACAGAGGUAGUUGAAUUCAACAGUUUAUUAUUCCAAGAGUUUGUGAAAAGUAGGAGAUAAUUUCAGGUGCGGAUUCUGUGCAGAUCACUUGCAGGAAUGCAGGUGAGUUCGUCAAUUGGCGGGAAGUCAAAGCCACACAAUUCUGGAAUACUAAUACUUGUCUCUUCACUUUUCCAUAUCGAAGCUCGUGGGGAAUUCAGGUAACUGGGUUAUCUCAGGAAUCCUGGAGACAGGAAAACAAAGACACACAGGUUAGCUUCUCAAAGGUAAGUAUACGUUUAUUCUGGAGGUCUUCUGAAAGCAAGAUGAGCUGGAGACAAGAUCGUGAGGUUGAAUCCUGUUGAAGGCUUGACUGUGAACUGGUGCUGAGGUGAGUGCUUUAUAGUGCCAUGCUGAUGGUGAUCAGGUGCAGGUGAUUAAUACUCAGGGGAGCGUGAGCAUUGUGGAUUGUCUGAGCCCGGGCUUGCCUGGUCCCUGACACCCAUAUCAGUAGAAUAGACCGAAAAAAUAAAGAUCUCAAAUCUGGGGAAUAUACUGUUCUGGUCAUGUGAGUCAAGCCUCUGAUAAGGUCUUCGACAAACGUUGUUUUUCUACCCCAGGGUAAAUAUGGCUUUCAGUUUACCUCAAGUCCCAGCAAAAGUUUUGUGAAGUUUUAUUAUCUUGAAUUUAUGAUGAAUUUGUU